UGAAUCAUAUCAUGAAACAAAGUCGCCAUAACUCUUUGAUACGUGGCACCGGCGUUCUUGAGACUGAAUGGCACCACCUCCACUUUUGACACUCGCCUCCAAGGCGGCCCCAACCUUUACUUCCUUUCAUACCUCCUCGGUACCCAGGUUAACAAGCUCAACUCGCUCCUCGUGCGGUUGAAUCACCUUCUCCUCCUGUUUCAACAACCUGGCUAAUUCCUCCGGCAGUUC
rnacentral:lncRNA from 1 species